ensembl:lncRNA
CAUGACUUUGGUAGUGUUCUACCUCUCUAGUUUGUGCCUCUUGGUCUUUUUAGCCGUUUCCUGAUUCUUUGAUGCUUACCAGUAUUUCUUCUAAAGAGACUUUGGUUUUUAUCUACUCAUAGAUGAGCAUUUGUGUGUUUAUUCCGUGUUCUUUGGGAAGGGAUGUAGAGCAUUCUUACAAUAAGAAGGUGUUUUUAAGGUCUGAGUGUAGCGGUGCCUGUGUAGGACGCUCCAUGAAUGGAGGAGUAGGCAGAGCUUCAACAAAGAUAACUCACAGCCCAGAUGCACUUGUGGAGCGUUCACUUGUCUGCUUUGUUUUAACUUGCCAAAGUGCAAGAGGAACACGGGGUAAUUAUAGUACCAUUGAUUAAUGAGGGAGGUGUACCUGUCAGCCAGGAGAAGCAGACAUUUUUCAUUCAUCAACAGGGCUUAAAUUGUUUGGAUUCUUCAACAAAAUUAUGAUGUUCCUGAAUGGAGACAGUGUCGACACUUACAGACGAUGACCAUUUCUCCCUUUCCUUUAUGAAGAAAGUGUGUCAAAAGCACGAGGCACAGGCAGAGAGGGAAAGCAAGCCAGGCAUGUGUGGUUCAGGGCAUGUCAUCGCCACUGGAGUUGAAGUGUCCCUUGUAGUGUGCAGGCCUUGGCUGAGGGCAGAUAACAGUUGAUUGAGGAGUAGAGGCAGUCAGGUCUUUGCAAACAGUGGUGUUUAUGCUGGCCUUCUGGGGUGUGUAUUGUGAGUGCUUGUGUGGUCAGUGUGUAUCUGAUAAAUAAAGGAACACAGAGAAAAGUGUGUGUCUGAGGCGUAGCUAGGAAACAGGGAGUUGUGGCCAUGUGAGAAAGCCUUUGUGGAGUUGCAGAGCCACAGUGAUUUUCCUAUUUCUUUAAAACGGUUGUUUAAUUGUUGGUACUCCUGAUCUGAUAAUCAGUUAUAUGCUACCAGUCAAUGACUAGGAUGACAGGUGGGUCAUGAAGGAUGCCCAUGUAGCUUUAGGCGUGGGGCUUCUGACUGCUUGCUGAGUCCUGUUUCUGAGACGUGGAAGCCACAUAGUGACAUGGAAUGUUCUUAUCUGUGCUCAGGUUCAUAGAAUUACAAGGAUCAAGCACUGCAUAUGAUGUCACUGCUACACACAGCUCUUGUGUAAAGGGGGACUUGAUUUUGCUAAAGAUCGUGCUUGGAGCUCUGGAGGAAACCUUCUGUAGUUAGUGCACUGGAGGCUCAAGGUUCCACACACUGCAGCAGGAGAAGGGAAUUCUGAAACACAAAGGAAAAGGGAUUUCUUCUGAUUUCAACAGGUCAGUUUACAAAAUCUGUAGUUGUUUGUGCCCUGUGCCAGGUGUCACUUGGACGCCCUGGCUGGUGCUAGGUCAUCUAGGCUUGCUUGCUGUCAGUGUUCGGAUCUCCCAUAGCACCUCUGUUACGGGAAC